rnacentral:rRNA from 1 species
AUCACCCGCGGUAAUUCCAGCUCCAAUAGCGUAUAUUAAAGUUGUUGCAGUUAAAAAGCUCGUAGUUGAAUUUCGGGAUCAAUAUUUCGGUCAUGCCGUUGGUAUGCACUGUUAUCAUUGAUUUCUCACCUUCUAAAGAACCGUAAUGCCAUUAAUUUGGUGUUACGGGGAAUUAGGACUGUUACCUUGAAAAAAUUAGAGUGUUUAAAGCAGGCAAUCGCUUGAAUACAUUAGCAUGGAAUAAUGAAAUAGGACGUUCGAUCCUAUUUUGUUGGUUUCUAGGAUUGACGUAAUGAUUAAUAGGGAUAGUUGGGGGCAUUAGUAUUCAAUUGUCAGAGGUGAAAUUCUUGGAUUUAU